rnacentral:rRNA from 1 species
GAUCCUGGCUCAGGACGAACGCUGGCGGCGUGCUUAACACAUGCAAGUCGAGGGAGUCCAGGUCUUCGGACCUGAGGCGACCGGCGGACGGGUGAGUAACACGUAAGUGAUCUAUCCUCGUGCGGGGGAUAACCCGGGGAAACUCGGGCUAAUACCGCAUGGUCGGACUGGCUGCAUGGCCGGACCGGGAAAGGUGGCCUCUUCUUGAAAGCUACCGCGUGGGGAGGAGCUUGCGGGCUAUCAGCUAGUUGGUGAGGUAACGGCUCACCAAGGCAACGACGGCUAGGGGGUCUGAGAGGACGACCCCCCACAUUGGGACUGAGACACGGCCCAGACUCCUACGGGAGGCAGCAGUGGGGAAUAUUGGGCAAUGGCCGAAAGGCUGACCCAGCGACGCCGCGUGUGGGAGGACGCCUUUCGGGGUGUAAACCACUGUCGGGGGGGACGAGAGCGUUGGCGGGGAAUACUCGCCAGCAGUGACGGUACCCCUACAGGAAGCACCGGCUAACUCUGUGCCAGCAGCCGCGGUAAUACAGAGGGUGCAAGCGUUGUUCGGAAUCACUGGGCGUAAAGCGCGCGCAAGCGGACGUGUAAGUCGGAAGUAAAAUUCCGGGGCUCAACCCCCGGAGCUGCUCCCCGAUACUGCAGGGUCUGGAUAACCCGUAAAGGCUGGGUGGAAAUUCCCUGUGUACCCGUGGAAAUGCGUAGAUUUCGGGAGUACACACCGUGGCCAAGGCGCAACCUGUGCCUGUUCUGACCCUUAGGCGCUUAAAUCUUUGGGAACGAUCANGAGUUAAAUUCCUGGG